AGGUGCUCUGAAGCUGUCUCUGCUCCAAGUCCUGGCCCCAUAGCAUCUCCUCAUAGGGAAAAAGGCUUGGGAGACCUUGCUGGUGGAAGGAAAAUGGGAAAGGAGCUCUGCUCUGUCAGAGGGAUUUAAGGAUUUAAUCCACAUACCGAGGGCACAAGGCUUGAACUCUGUGAG